rnacentral:rRNA from 1 species
GACGAACGCUGGCGGCGUGCUUAACACAUGCAAGUCGAACGGAAAGGCCCUGCUUUUGUGGGGUGCUCGAGUGGCGAACGGGUGAGUAACACGUGAGUAACCUGCCCUUGACUUUGGGAUAACUUCAGGAAACUGGGGCUAAUACCGGAUAGGAGCUCCUGCUGCAUGGUGGGGGUUGGAAAGUUUCGGCGGUUGGGGAUGGACUCGCGGCUUAUCAGCUUGUUGGUGGGGUAGUGGCUUACCAAGGCUUUGACGGGUAGCCGGCCUGAGAGGGUGACCGGCCACAUUGGGACUGCGAUACGGCCCAGACUCCUACGGGAGGCAGCAGUGGGGAAUAUUGCACAAUGGGCGGAAGCCUGAUGCAGCACCGCCGCGUGCGGGAUGACGGCCUUCGGGUUGUAAACCGCUUUCGCCUGUGACGAAGCGUGAGUGACGGUAAUGGGUAAAGAAGCACCGGCUAACUACGUG